UACGUAGGGUGCGAGCGUUAAUCGGAAUUACUGGGCGUAAAGCGUGCGCAGGCGGUUUGCUAAGACCGAUGUGAAAUCCCCGGGCUUAACCUGGGAACUGCAUUGGUGACUGGCAGGCUAGAGUAUGGCAGAGGGGGGUAGAAUUCCACGUGUAGCAGUGAAAUGCGUAGAGAUGUGGAGGAAGACCGGUGGCGAAGGCGGCCUGCUGGGCAGUUACUGACACUGAUGCGCGACAGCGUGGGGAGCAAACAGG
rnacentral:rRNA from 1 species